UCCGAUGUCGUCCAGCGGUUAGGAUAUCUGGCUUUCACCCAGGAGACCCGGGUUCGAUCCCGGCAUCGGAG
rnacentral:tRNA from 1 species